rnacentral:rRNA from 1 species
GGGCUUAAAGAGUGCGCAGGCGGUUCUGUAAGUCCAGAUGUGAAAUCCCCGGGACUUAACCUGGGGAAACGGUGCGUUUGAAACUGCAGACGGGCUAGAGUCGCGGGACACGGAGGGAGGUGGAAGUUCCAUGUGUAAGCAGUGAAAUUGCGUAGACGUAUAUAGGAAGAAACAUCCGAUGGCGAACGGCAACCUCCCUGGGGGCCGUAGACGACCUGACGCUUCCAAUUGGGCACGAAAGGGCCCGUGGGGAGGCAAAACAGGGGAGUUAGAUACCCCUGGGUAGGUCCACGCCCUAAACUACUGUACAACUAGUUAGUCGGGUCGUUAAUAGACUUGGUAACGUAGUCUAAACGCGUGAAGUUGGACCGCCUGGGGACGUACCGGUCGGCGAAGAUUAAAACC